GGGAGGCUCUGCAGCAGAGUGUCCAGCGAAGGGAGAGGCGCUGUUGGAGACCAAGUCUAAGGUGACCCACCCCGUCUACAGCCUGUACUACCCAGAGGAGAAACAUGAGUGGUGGUGGCUCUACAUCGCUGACCGCAAGGACCAGACUCUAGUCUCCAUGCCAUACCACGUCUGCACACUCAAAGACACAGAGGAGGUGGAGCUGAAGUUUCCAGCUCCCUCUAAAACAAGGGAACUACCAGUACUCUGUCAUCCUCCGCUCAGACUCUUACCUGGGUCUGGACCAGAUCAAACCCCUCAAGCUGGAGGUGCACGAGGCCAAGAG